CACACACCUAUCUAUACAUAUAAUAUGUAUACAUACAUAUUAUUCCUGUAUUGGUCUUCAUGUCAUAGGAGUUUCCUUAGUACUGGACUCCAUGAUCAGCAAAUGCCAAACUUAGGAAAGGUUCAAUGCAUCAGUGCAUAGACACAUUUAACCAGCAAUGCGUCAGUCUUCCUUAGAGGUAGACCCCAUCAGAGAGCCAUCACUAGCCUCAGCUGCUUCCUCCUGGCUGAUCCCCAAAGAACAUUAGGGUAUUCAGUGAUACCUGCAGGUGCCCACCUCCCAGCAAUGGUCUUUAAAUGAUGGCCUAACAAAAACGGUCAGUGGACAUCAUGUUAUGUGUGCAUUUCACCUGCAUAAAUGCAAUCACAGGGGCUGUGGCAACCAAAGAAGUGUGCCACUCAGAUCCUCUUUCAAGAGGACCUUUUGUGGAAAGCACAGCUGAUGGCAGCUGUUGGACUUUCACAUUCAAAGCUGCCAAUGUUGUGCUUCACCUGGACUCCUCCUAGCCAACAUCUGGUUAUGGCAUGGGCACUGGGGCCAUUCCUUCUCUACCCAACAUGGGAUUCCACUAACAGGCAGUGUUGUGCUUGCUUGUUGACUCCUUAUGGGCUUGGCUGAGAUUUUCUUAGAACCUCACUGUAGUCUGAACUUUUCCUGGCCAAUUCUUCUUUCUCUCUCUCCUUGCGCAAGUAUCCAAUCUGUAUGAUGAUUGGAAAGUCUUCUUUACCACUUCUGCUCCUUUUUUCUUUAUCUUUCACAUGUGUUUUCCUCAUUAAAUAUCUUGUUUAUCUAAUCGUUUUGGUGCCUACCUCUCAGAGAAUCUGAAUUGAUACAGCAGCUCAUCAGAAAAAAAAAACAGAAGUGAAAAAAAAAAAAAAAGAUGGGGUGGUGGUGGUGGAGAAAAGCAGCAACUUAAUAGUGCCAUCUACUAAUUAGGAGUAUUCACAGAGCAUGAGAUGCAGGUAUCUUGUUCCCUUAGUCAGGUUCUAUUUGUUCCUUAAAGCCCUAAUUUUAGUCAAUAAAUAUGUACAGAAUUUACUCUAUGCCAGACAUUGUUCUAAAUAUUUUACUUAUAGUGAAUGACUUGGUGUUUGCAUCAUCCAUAUGAUUAGUUACUGUUACCAUUUUGCAGAUGAGAACACUGAAGCACAGAGAGCUUAUGUUAACUUGUCCAGUGCCAAAGAGCUAUUAAGUGGCAGAGCUGGGAUUUACUGUCUCUGCACUGUUGCUUCUUCCAUUAGGACCUCUUUGCUGUGCUGAGACUGCAGUAUCUAAAGCUGGAAAACUCUCUGUUUUCAGAGGACUCAUGUGACUCAACAGGACCCACUUGGAUAAUUUCCAUAUUUUAAGGUCAACUGUGCCAUAUAAAAAAUCUAAUCACAAGACUAGAAUCCAUGAAGUUCAUGGUCAAUAAAGCAGGCAAUUCAAGUUCUAAGAAUAUAUGUAUUUUAUGUAUAACCCAAUAAGGCUAUUUUCUUUUAGAAUGAAAGAAAUAUAGCCCUUAAGUAAUACACCAAGAAUUAUUCAAUUUAAUAAGUUUCCAUUCAGAAAUAUAUAUUUCUGACUAAUUUUCUAACAUUAUAACAUACUGCCAACCCUCUUCACUCUUACCUUGCAAAAAUUCACUGAAAGACUGCCUGGAUGAAGCAAAUCUGGGAAAUUGUUAUUUCAAACUGAUUUUUCCAGAGUGAUGGAUGACAAUUUUUAAGUAGUUACUGUGCUCUAGAUAAUGUACUAGAUAAUGAACAUGCAUCCAAUAAUUUAAACCUCACAACCACCUGUGGAGUGGUUGCCCAUUUGUGAAGGAAGAAACCCAAACUGGAUAUAUUAAAUAAAUUGUUCAGCCUCGGAGCUUGUAAGCAGCUGAGUCAAAUGAAACCAAGCCUUAUCAAUUAGUCUGUGUUGUUGUUAUUUUAAACUGCCUGUGUCAGCUAACUUGGGUUUAUCUUUCUAAGCUAUCCCCUCACCCCAAAUUAGUCUUGCUUUGGUGUACUUUCUUCUUAACCAUGGCAAAUCACACGCACUUUAAGCCUUUCAUGAUGUCACAGGGUCUUCUUUAUGAAUUAAACUACUUUAACGCUAA